rfam:Schizosaccharomyces octosporus yFS286 cont2.6, whole genome shotgun sequence.
AUCGACGAUACUCCAUAGGAUCAUUUCUAUAGUAUACGUCCGGCUUGGGUUUCCUAACCUAGCCACAGAACUCAACACGGAUGAUGAUCGGUAGCGCCAUUGCCCGAAGAGUGAGAUAUUACUUUCUUACUGAAUGGAUGCUUUGUAGCUGGAUCCUUUUUGGAUCAAGUUGCAUAAUGGCAUCUGUUCAAGGCGAUGAUCUCUUGCAUGAAUUGUUUCCUUUUUGGUCGAUUCAUGUAGGGUAGUUGGCGUUUUCUGACGUGU